GUCAACUACCCCGCCCUAAAGGGCGGAGCUUGCCUGCCUGCCGCGACGCAGACAGGUGAAAACAAGCUGGGUUGACCAGCCUAAGCCCUGUUAAAGGGGCUACGUGUACAACAGGUCGUCAAGACUCACCGGCGGAUGCUUCCUCAGUCUGCCGCUCUGAAAGGUCAGGAUUAUGCUGACGCAAGGUAAAACGUCGAAGGUCUUGAUCGCCGCUGUCAAGCGGGAGCCGGUUGUACACAUUGGCGAGGGGAGCGACGA
rfam:Thiorhodospira sibirica ATCC 700588 ctg241, whole genome shotgun sequence.